GGACUACCAGGGUAUCUAAUCCUGUUUGCUACCCACGCUUUCGCGUCUCAGCGUCAGUUGUCGUCCAGAAGGCCGCCUUCGCCACCGGUGUUSCGCUUGAUAUCUACGAAUUUCACCUCUACACCAAGCAUUCCACCUUCCUCUCCGACACUCAAGCUGUGCAGUUUCGGGUGCACUUCCACGGUUGAGCCGCGGGAUUUCACAUCCGACUUGCACUGCCGCCUACACGCGCUUUACGCCCAGUGAUUCCGAACAACGUUUGCACCCUCUGUCUUACCGCGGCUGCUGGCA
rnacentral:rRNA from 1 species